rnacentral:tRNA from 1 species
GAGUAAUAGCUAAAUAAGUAAAUGUUUUGAAAACAUUUGAUAAGGUUUUAUAAACUUAAUAUUUU